rnacentral:lncRNA from 1 species
GAAGGCUGGAGCUGCUGUGGACAGAGCAGUGACCCCGGGCGUGCCUCAGGGGCAGGCUUGUCAGCUGCUCGUGGGGCUGUUGAGGUGAGAAAAAGGGAAGUGCUCAUAUUUGAGGAGGCAGUUUGGGGGACCAUUGCUACCCAGAAAGUUUCCAGCCUGAGUCUAAGCCCGGGCUGGGGCCGAAGCUGGCUGACUGAUAGGACGCCAGGCACCUGAGUCUGCUCCUGAUCUGGGACAGUAACGCAGGUAUUGUUGGGGGAACCAGCAACAGGAGUCACCAGCUCCUGCCUCGGGUUUAUGAGCAUCAGACCAGCAUUAUGACCAAGGCAAGAGCAGGGAAGCUGUGUGCAACUGAAUUAACAUCCUAUUCCUCGAUAAUAGCCUUUCCCUGCAUAAAUGUAAUAGGAGAGAACCCUGCUGGAAGAACAAGUUAACCCUCAUGCUUCCACUCCUUCUCUUCCACACGUCUCCAAGAUUGGACUGAGAGAGGACCAUUAUUUUUGGUAUUUCGAUUGCUCUCGGCUCCGGAAGAGGACGGGCCCUUGUCCUAUCACAGACCUCAGUUCUAAGGGUUGGCCAACAGCUCUGACUUCCUGCCGCCCUCAGGCACAGGGCUUGACCUUGCUCAAGAAGAAUCUGUCUUCCAGCGGGUCUGACCUCAAAGAAGUCACCCACACCAGCAUACAUCCAACUGGAGAUGUGCUGAUUAAAAGGGCUGCUGCCAUCUGGAAGGCCCUUGCCCCACCCCAGCCCAAACCAAAAAAGCUUGCUUUUUCUUUUAGCUUGGAAUGUGACCCCCA